UACGCAGGGUGCGAGCGUUGUCCGGAAUUAUUGGGCGUAAAGGGCUCGUAGGCGGUUUGUCGCGUCGGGAGUGAAAACACCGGGCUUAACUCGGUGCUUGCUUUCGAUACGGGCAGACUAGAGGCAUGCAGGGGAGAACGGAAUUCCUGGUGUAGCGGUGAAAUGCGCAGAUAUCAGGAGGAACACCGGUGGCGAAGGCGGUUCUCUGGGCAUGUCCUGACGCUGAGGAGCGAAAGUGUGGGGAGCGAACAGG
rnacentral:rRNA from 1 species